rnacentral:rRNA from 1 species
AGGUGAACCUUCGGAAGGAUCAUUACCGUAACGCGGCGGUCCGGCAACCGCAAGGAAGUCGGCCGCCACACGCGUUUAUCACCCUUGACUUUGAGCACCUUUCGUUUCCUCGGCGGGUUCGCCCGCCAGCGAGGACCCCCACAAACCCUUUGUAAUAGCAAUAUUCGUCUGAAAAACAACCAAUAAUCAAAACUUUCAACAAUGGAUCUCUUGGUUCUGGCAUCGAUGAAGAACGCAGCGAAAUGCGAUAAGUAGUGUGAAUUGCAGAAUUCAGUGAAUCAUCGAAUCUUUGAACGCACAUUGCGCCCCUCGGUAUUCCGUGGGGCAUGCCUGUUCGAGCGUCAUUUAACCCCUCAAGCCUAGCUUGGUAUUGGGUGCUUGUCCCGCCUCUCGCGCGGCGACUCACCUCAAAGUCAUUGGCAGCCCGCAUCUCGCCGGCCGUGAGCGCAGCACAGACGCGCUCUUGGCAACGACGGAUCGGCUCUCCAAAAGCUUAUUUCAACCACUGACCUCGGAUCAGGUAGGGAUACCCGCUGAACUUAAGCAUAUCAAUAAGCGGAGGAAAAGAAACCAACAGGGAUUGCCUCAGUAACGGCGAGUGAAGCGGCAACAGCUCAAAUUUGAAAUCUGGCCCUUUCAGGGUCCGAGUUGUAAUUUGCAGAGGGUGCUUUGGUGUCGGCCGUGGUCUAAGUUCCUUGGAACAGGACGUCACAGAGGGUGAGAAUCCCGUACGUGGCCGCCGGUCUUCACCGUGUAAAGCCCCUUCGACGAGUCGAGUUGUUUGGGAAUGCAGCUCUAAAUGGGAGAUACAUUUCUUCUAAAGCUAAAUAUUGGCCAGAGACCGAUAGCGCACAAGUAGAGUGAUCGAAAGAUGAAAAGCACUUUGGAAAGAGAGUCAAAAAGCACGUGAAAUUGUUGAAAGGGAAGCGCUUGCAGCCAGACGUGCCCGCAGUUGCUCACCUGGGCUCUCGCCCGGGGCAUUCUUCUGCGGGCAGGCCAGCAUCAGUUCGGGCGGUUGGAUAAAGGCCUCUAUCACGUAUCUUCCUUCGGGAUGACCUUAUAGGGGAGGCGCAACACGACCAGCCUGAACUGAGGACCGCGCAUCAGCUAGGA